GACCGCGUAGCUCAGUUGGAAGAGCAUGGGGUUAGUAUUCCAAAGGUCGUAGGUUCGAAUCCCGCCGUGGCCA
rnacentral:tRNA from 1 species